UCCGUUUUCCUCCGCGGCAGCACGGUCUGCGUCCUCGAGACGCCGGAAAAAGCCUCCGGUUCGGGCGUCCCGAGCCCUCCUCGAUCCCGGUGGCUGGUGAAGCUCCAGGAGUCGAGCCUCGGCGACUUGCAGCUCCUCUGCCCCUUCUCGAAGCGGCGCGUCACUUACUUGCCCCGCAAUUUCCCCAAGGUAAUCGACUCCCUCGAAUCCAGGAUCGUGGAAAUCUGUAGGGAAUUCAGGAUCGAGUGCGCUACGUUGGGCAUCGCUCUCGGUGUAAGGAAAGUAGUGGUGUCCCCAGAUUGUGUAUGGACUGAUCUAGAUAAACUUGAGGUCUAUUCCAUCAGAGAGCAAGGGCGGUUAGGUUACUGGAAGUAUGGGGAUGAGAACUGGACCUAUUUGGAUGAUCAAAAUGGGUGUUCUUAUGAUGACAUCAUAGUGUAUGAAGGCAAAGUCUGUGUGGUUGAUCAGUCCGGGAUGGUUUCGCUGAUCGAUUCGUCAUUUAGGACUCUUCAAAAGUUGUCGCCAUCAAUCUACACCGGCGGUGGUGGCCGCAGCAAUUGCAAAUAUUUGGUGGUGUCGGGUGGUGAUCUGUAUGUUGUGGAUAGAGAGAUUGAUGUAUAUACACUUGGUUUUAGAGUCUACAGAUUGGAUAGACGAUGUGGGGAAUGGGUGGAUGUAGUAAGCCUGGGCGACAUGGCUUUCUUUCUCGGUAAGCACUGUUCGUACGCCAUCUCUAUGCACGAGCUCGGUGGAUGCUACCCGAAUUGCAUCUACUUCAUGGAUAACACCGUUUACCCUUACUCGAGAGACAGAGUUAAUGUGUUUAGCUUGGAGGUUCGUAUCAUCGAGCCGCUGGACUUUUACCCCUUCCUAGUGAGCACAUGAGGCACCUUCAAUUUGACUCUAACCGAAAAUUGACGCCUUCCAGGUUCCAAGAGGACAUCAAUUAGACCAGGUUAGUACUGAAAAUAUGAUCUGAAAUAUGUGAAGGCGUAAUUUCUCUAUAUUGGAGCAUGUCUCUGCCCUGGGAUCUUGGGUUUUAGCUUCUUCCUUUCCCUAGUUUUGUAAUGGCACAUCUGCGUGCUUGAAUGUUUCUAAUCUCCUUCGUCCUUGAAUGAUUUUGAAAUAUUAUCAGCACAAGAAAUUCGGUGGUGCUUUUGUUAAUGGUCUUCUGCUUUAGCUGCCGACCUCCAUUUUCUUGAUAAUGGCGGUUUGGGAUUCAGGCAUUCUCAGUAUGUGCAUCUGAUCGUCAGUUUUGUCUUAACAAACAUGCCAGAGUUAAAUUCUUAGUAUCGAUGAUGAGUUUAUCUCGUCUUCUUCUCUCCCACUGCAGCAUCAUAGUUUCUUUCCACAGCUCGGGUGUCAAGAAUUGCAGCUGUUCAUCCAUGGAUCGUUUUUGCCCCUCCUCUUGAAAUUGCACACCCAAGGGGUCACGGCAUAUGGUUCCCUAGAAAUUACUAGGUAGGAUGGCUCCAUAAAGUCAGAAACUCUCGACAUGGCGCACAGCAUGAAGUUAAUUCUUGACAUGGCGCACGAUACGUUAUAGCAACCCACCUCUUAAUGGCAAUUACAAUCUAUUACUUAUCAUGACGUUUUUUCAGGGAAAUUAUCCAAAAAGUCCAAAACAUAUUACACUUUUACUAAUUUAGUCUUGAAUAUUUUCACAUUUAAUCAAUUGAAUCUAUAUGGACAUUUUUAAUCGGAAAUCGCUGACAUAAAUGUUGUUCAGCGCUGUCCUACUUGAUAUGACUGACCGAUGUCGAUGUGAAUAAAUUUUAACUUUUUUUGGAUUUUUUUUUCUUUUUUUUCCUUCUUCUUCUUGUAUAUUCUUCUUCCCCCCUUGGUUGAUCAUUGUCGAGCCUAGUCUAUGGCUAACGAAGGUCACCAGGAUGCCUGAGCCUAGGUUGGCGAGGUAGACCUUGGCAAAUAAGGUGAGGGUCAUUCUUGCUCUCUUGGCGCCAACCAUCAACAAGGCCAAGUGAUGGCCAGUGGAGGAAAAAGGCGGAAAAAAAAAAAACAAGAGAGAGAAAAAAAAAUAAAGAGAAAAAAUAAAGAAGGAAAAUAGAAGAAAAGAAAAAGAAAAAAUAUUAAAAUAUUAUUUAAAAUUAUUCAUAUUAAUACCGACUAUGCCAUAGUAUCCUUGCCAGUGAUUUUUAGUAUCUUCAUCAGUGAUUUUUGAUCAAAAUUGAUCAGAUAAACUAAAUUAGUAAAAUAUAAAAAUAUUUAUGACUCAAUUGACAUAAGUAAAAAAUUUAAAAUUGAAUUAGUAAAAAUGCAAUUGACUUAGAAUUUUUUGAAUGAUUUUUUCAUGUUCUUUCUCUAAUAUUAACAAAACAAACAUGGAUGGAAAAAGAUAUAAAUUAAGGUAACAAAGGAUAAUCAAAUGUCUUUUUGAUUACUUUAAAAAAUAAAUUGAAAUUAUUGUUGAUUGAGAUAAUUGAGUAUAAGUUGAAUUUGGAUAACACCCUAGAUAUUUAUGGUAUAUGAUGAAGACUUGCCUUGGCAUGAACAAAGAUUGGAAUUUGCAAGAUUCACGAUCAAAAUUGAACGGAAAAAUCUAAAAGAUAAUCAAGUGAAAAGAUUUGUUUUCAAUUUUAAUGAACUUCAUCAAAAGUGAAGAACAAAAAUUCCCCUUUAAUUUUGGCAACGACGAUUCUUCCUCUUCUUCUUCCUGCGACGUCUGCGAUCACUAGUGCAGGAUCUCGCAUGGAGGAAACCGGGAAACGUCCCUGGUCCGAUCUCCCGCCGGAGAUUCUCUCCAUAAUCGGCAAUCGUCUCCACACUCGCAUGGACGUCCUCCGGUUCCGCGGCGUCUGCUCUUCGUUCCGCUCCUCGAUCCCCCGGCCUCGCCACGACGCCUCGCGGUUCCCUUUCCGCAUCCCAACUAGCACGCCGCGCUUCGCCCUCUUCCUUCGCGCGAGCACGGUCUACGCCGUCGAGACGCCGGACGGAGCCGCCCCCUCCGGUCGCACGCGGUGGCUGCUGAGGCUCGAGGAGUCGGAGCUCGAACGCAUGCGGAUCCUCAGCCUCUUCUCCCACCGGCGGAUCGCGUACUUGCCCCACGAGUUCCCGGAGGUACUCGAUUCUCUCCAAUUCCGAAUCGUCGAGAUCUUUAGAGAAUACACGCUCGAAUGUGGCGGUGGAACCGGAGGCCUCGUUCAGUGUGCACAGAAAGUAGUGAUGCAUCCGGAUUGUGUAGGGUCUGAUGUGGACCGGUGUUCGGUUUAUUUCAUUGAUAAAAUAGGGCGAUUAGGUUAUUGGAGGUACGGGGUUGAGAAUUGGAGCCAUUUAGAUGAUUCACAGGGCGGUGGUUACGACGACAUUGCAGUUUAUGAAGGUAGAGUUUGCGUCGUCGAUCAGUUUGGGUCAGUUUCGGAAAUCCAUUCAUCUUUCGGACUUCAAAGUCUCUCACCGCCAAUAUACAGUGGCAACCACCGCGGCAGCGGUGGCUUUUGGAAGCAAUUGGUGGUGUCAAGUGGUGAUCUUUAUUUAGUGGACAGAUACACCGAGAGCAUCGCGUACACUGAGAAUACAAGGCCGACGUGUGAUUUUAGGGUCUAUAGGUUGGAUCGACAAUGGGGGAGAUGGGAGGAGGCGAGAAGCUUGGGCGAUUCGGCCUUCUUUCUUUGCAAGCACCGCUCGUUCGCGGUCUCGGCACUCGAGCUUGGCGGGGGCAACGGGAAUUGCAUCUACUAUACGGAGGACACUUAUUCCUAUUACUCGAUGGAAAUCUUUAAGGUGUUCAGCUUGGCGGACCGUAGCGUCAAGUGCCUGGGCUUCUCUGACUCCUUAUGGCGUCUCCCGACUUGAAUAAAGCGAAGUCGACCACGCCUUGCAGACCCGAAUUGUACAUCUGCAAGUGGGUUAGAUCACGGUAGAGUCUCUGAUCUCCUUUAUUCACUAGUAAAUACACACCCUUUGUGAUGUCUUUCUGUGGAUCAGGUCUAGCUUCUGACCUCCAUUUUCUUGAUUACUGGUAUAGAAUUUACUCUCUGGGAAGCUCCUGGUUGAGGUUCAGUGUUCAUUUGGAGUGGACUGGUUUGUCAUUUAUCGCGUCUUUGAAUUAACUUCAAUCAGUCAAGACAGAAGUAUACCCAAGUAAAAUGAGUGGUCAUUGGAUACACUUACGACACUGGCAAAAGAAGUUACCCACAUUUGUUAUUGCUGACAAAAUAAAUAAAUAUAUAAAAGAGAAGUGGGUGAGAAAAUAUAUUAUUUAGGCUCCACGAUGCAAUUUAUAUCUGAGAAAUGAUAUUAAUAAUCCUCAAAUUUUGGCUCAAUAUGAAAUGUCAUUCUUGAAAUUUUAAUUUGAUUAAUGUACUCAUUGAAUUAUGUUUAAAUGUUUAAUGUAGUCUUUUUAUUUGACCAAACUAGAGAAAAAGUAACCGUAAAUCUUUCAUUAUAGCCAAAAUAUGUAAUCUAAUACCAAAAUUUUCCAUUUGUUCAAUCUGGAUCAUUACUUUUCAUAACAAAGUCAAAUCGGUUUUUCAAAUUUAUCCACAAGUUUUCAUGGUUAUACAGUUGCCUAGAUUUUAGAAUGUAUUUUAUUUCAAUCUAUUUAUUAAAUUAACCAAAAAUGUAGAAAUGGUUGUCUACGGGCAUGAUUAGAUUUUGCAAGAAUUGUUUCUAGCUGAAUGUGCUCAACGCGAGGAAGACGACAUCGAUAGCACUGUAUCAUCCGAAUCAUUACGAGGGAUAUUGCGCAAAAGACAUUUAGACAUAUUCGUGGGUGUAAUUUGUUUUUAAUUGUUAUUAGGAAACCUAUAAUUGUAAGUUUUCUUACCGAAUUUGAGAUGUACUUGUAUUUUUGAAUCGGUUUUUUCCCAAAUUUUUCUCACUUAAUUUUGGAUUAUUUUAAAUUUUAAAAAUAAGAAACGUAACUAUUGACCGACGACUACAUUAUACAGCUUUUACUGAGGGCUGCAACAAAAAAGAACCUGGCUAGUCAACUUAUAAAUAGGGCACUGAUUAUAUAUCUGGCAUUCGUAAAACACAAUCCAUAAAUCUUUGGCAAAUCGACAUUCGCAAGUUCAGAAAUUAUCGCACUCUUUACGAAUGGUUCAUUGAAUGUCAGUGCACUUUAGUUGGCUAAUCAACCGAGAGGAUGAGGCACCGUCAAAUAGGAAUUGUUCUCGAUUAAAGAAAUCUUGGACCGUAGCCGUUAUGGGGUAAUGCAAACAAUGGGACGGGACAUUUUCAGUGGCACAAAGAGCCUAAGUCCAUCAAGAAAGGCGCAUGGAUAGACUUGCGACAAAAUAUAUUUAUGUCCAAUUAAUUUUAAGUAUCAUCAAUAUAUUGAUGCAUUGCGUUAUGAAUACAUUAUGCUUGAUUAGUAAUCAUAAAGUAUUAUUAUAUUUAUAUUCUUUGUAAUUUUUAUUGAAUAUGGCGAUUUGCGAAUUGAAAUUUUUGUUAUUAUUAUUCUGAAUUUUUCUUCAUAAAAUAAUUCAUUAAUUUAAUGUAAAAAAAACCCAGCGUAGGUCAACCGGGCCCAGGCCUAGGCCCGGCAAGUGGGAUGGCCUGGAAAUUUCCGUGCCUGGGCCCAUUGGGCCGCCACAACGCUGGCCCCUUAAAUUGCGAUGGAGUUGAACUGCGUACUUGGAACAUCUUCUUCUUCACUGAUCGAGCGUGACCGCCGGCGACGCCCAUGGAUCGAGCCGAGCGAUGUCGAUGGUCCGAUCUCCCGCCGGAGAUCCUCUCCAUGAUCGGCAAGCGGCUUCACACUCGCAUGGACGCCCUCCGGUUCCGCAGCGUCUGCUCCUCGUUCCGCUCCUCGAUCCCUCCGCCUCGCCGCGACGCCCCGCGAUUCCCUCUCCGAAUCCCUUGCUCGUGGAGCGACCACUCCGUUUUCCUCCACGACAGCACGGUCUGCAUCCUCGAGACGCCGGAAAAAGCCUCCGGUUCGGGCGUCCCGAGCCCUCCUCGAUCCCGGUGGCUGGUGAAGCUCCAGGAGUGGAGCCUCGGCGACGUGCAGCUCCUCAGCCUCUUCUCGCAGCGGCGAAUCACUUACUUGCCCCCCAAUUUCCCCAAGGUAAUCGACUCUCUCGAAUUCAGGAUCGUGGAAAUCUGUAGGGAAUUCAGGAUCGAGUACGGUACGUCGGGC
rnacentral:lncRNA from 1 species